GCCUAGGCGUCUUGAGUAGCUGGGACUACAGGCACACACUAUCACGCCCAAUAUUUUUGUCUUAAGUUUCUAAGGAGUCCCAACACUGCACAGUAGCUGUUCAAUAUAUUUUGAGUGAAUGAUUAAAAACAAGCUUGGUGUUGAUUUUAUUGGUACAAUUUAUAUUUACAUAUGUAAUGUUUAUAUUAUAUGCUUUUUAUAUAUUUAUAUGUGUGUAUGUAUAUAAUUGGCACCAACGUAGCAUUGCUGUGCUUAAGUGCCUGAGAUGUAUCUCAAAUGAAUAGACCUGAGGAGAGAAGCUUGUGUCAUUAGCUCUGACCCUGCAGCACUAAUCCUGGUUUACCCCUUUAUUUCACUCACCCUGAGCACAUCAAUUUAUUUGGUGAAAGAGCUUACACUUUAACAUCUCACUGAAAUAGCUCAUUCCAAAGAAAGAGCUAGUUCUAACCUCUCACAAGUGCUUGAGCAUUUGCAUAAGUGAAAUUUCACUGUGUGAGUUUCACCCAACACCACCUCUGCUCCAGCUCCUGCUACUCUGCUGCUCAUACCGUGGAACUCCACAGGUGGAGUAGAAGAUCAUCAGAGAGAGUUUUAUUUGCAGUAAAUUCGGUGUGCAACAGGCCAAGCAACGAGGAGUCAAGGUGAGGCAGAAGAACAGCAGAGGGAAGUGGAAGUUGGAUAAAGGGUGAACUGAGUAGGAGCGGAAGCAGGAUAAAGAGGUGGGUGAGCAAGAAGCAAGAUAAGCAGAAGUUGAGCAGCGAAAACAAAAGUGAGAUGGAGUAGUGAGUAAAAGUUUAUGGCUGGCAGGAUCCAGAGCAAACCAGUAAAAGGCAUGCAUAUGACAGAGAAAAAGUAGCCUUAAAAUGACCCCGUAUGAUAAUCAGCUCAUUAAAGCUAAUGCAUAUGGAGUGCAUAUCAUGGGUGUACUUAAAAUUAUGGGAUGGAGGUGAUGCGGAAGCACACAGGGGCCAAGUAACUAAGCAACCCACCUAUCAAUCAGAAGGCACAUGGUGGGUAGAGAUUAGGCAGCCCCAGGAAGAGGAGAAAAAAGAAAAAAAAAAAACAUGUAAAAAGACCCAAAGCCCAAAGUUCACCAAACUGACGCUGAUCCCAUUUUGCAGAAGUCAGCCCGUUCUCCCCUCUCUGAGAGUGUUACUGUGCUUAAUAAGUCUCUUGCUGCUUUGCUACAUGUGUGUGUGUCACUUCCAAUUCUUUGUUAAAGACACCAAGAACCUGGGACUUCACAACACCAGCCGGUAACAAAGAUCUCUGUAAGACACAAAAGUUGGAUGACAGUCGUUUUGAUUCUUGGACUUUACUAGAGACUCCAAAGACGCAUCUGAGGAGAAAAGCUCUGGGUCCCUGGGAUGACUGUGCCACUCGACAUAGCCUCCUGGAGUGGCCAAAGAGAGUGUGGAUAAGAAAAGAAAUAUUGGAGUGAACUUUCACUCACUCCCACUUCUGUAGGUUUCUUAAAAUAUAUGGGUUUAGAAGCAAGAUACUUGGCGUUUUCAAAUGACUCAAAAGAGAUGUAGAUGAAGAGAAGUUCGGUCAUCCCACAGAUCUUCCGGAGUAACCUGGACACAUCCCUAAAUCUCUAGCUCCUGGGUCUUCGAAAGCCUGUUUGCCUCAGGGUUGGGAGGAAAGGGUUUGGAAAGUACCAAGGCAAGCGUUGGCAAAAAGAUUACCUCAUCAGUGAGGAAAUGAAAUUUCCAGAAGUUUUCGCCAGAUCUGGGACCAGAGACAAAUGCUGGAUGAAUUUCCUAUGCAAACCUCUUUUAGAACCACCGCUUCAAAGGCCGUCCAGAGACUUCAAAUUAGAUCUGGUGAAACUGCUCCCGGUAGGGGAUUGGUAGUUCAGCGGUAGAGGUUUUUGUCUCCCACGCCGGCGACUCCGGUACGACUCCCGGCCAUGCAGGACUUCUUACUCUUCCGGCAGGAAGGGCUACUACGUUUCUACCCAACAAAGUUAUUAUAUUAUACAGGCUGUACUGCAUUUAUGGACCUUGGUCGUGGCAGCUAGAAGCUAACCUGAGGGGCGUGCCACCUCUGGAGCAUUCUCUGUGCUCGAACUAAUAAUCCCGGAAUUUACGUUCCUGUGCUCGAAGCCUGUCCUUGAAAGUGGGGAGUGUUUCCGGUGGGUUGCUGCAGUUUUAAAUACUGGGAAUUAAAACCUUUGCUACUUUCAUCUAGUCUCCCGGCAAACCCCUGGGUAACCCAAAGCCCAUCAGAGGGAUUCGCGUGCUGGGCUUUCCGCUACGUUAGGCCACGUCUCACUAUGGAGCGAGGAUCAAGAAGGUCCGGGAAGGAGAGAAGCUGCGGGGUCCAGGGAGACUCUUCGGCGGUUGGUCGGAGAGGUUUCAGCGGCCCAAGGAAAAGGGAAGCGUGUGGGAAUCUAUCCGCGUAGAGAUGAGGGGCGCGGCGGAGACAGUCCCACGCAGAGGUAUGCCCAAACACCGAGUUACUUAACCUCCUCAACCACCUUGGCAUCCGCGCCUUCCGUGGGCCCAUCGGUCUUCCGGGAGAGAUUCUGUGUCCCUGGUAUUGUGUGUCAACAGGUGUUAGCCUGAUAGUUAUAUUUUUAAUGAGAGAAAACGAACUACAGAAUUUGCGAGUUUUGUUUUUUUUCUGGUUUUGCUUUAUACCUCUUGGAUUCUCCUUCCAAAGGAGACAAAAACCUCUACCUCAUUUAAUAUGCUAAUUAGCCUGCAUUUUACAACAGAUUGUAUUAGAGCCUGGAUACACAUCCAACUCGAUUCCAUGUAUGGAGCCGUAGUUGAUUUGGUCAAUAACUUGCAUUGUUCUGCAUGAGAACUUCCACAAUUUGCUUCCUCAUUCUAAUAGGGUUUGCUUGAAUUAUAUGAAAUCACCACCUUUAUUGGUCAAAACCAGCUGAAUAUUGGCAAUUUCAUGUGGUUCAACCUAAUAGUCUGCAGGGGUCUGGGGAGAUCAUAGCAUGUGAAUAUAAUGUUGAAUGAGACAUAGGAAGAAAGAAACAAGAUAGCUGGGACAAAGGGUAUUGAAUGAGUAGAAAAAAAAGUAGUAAUCUUUUUGUUUGGGUUAGGUGUGUGUUCCCAAGGGAAAUAAUUUUUGAGCAUGUAGCUUGAAAGUAAUAAUACCACUUUUAGGUAGUACAAAUGGCUCAGGGGAUCAAUUGGGAUUUAGGGAGCGGGGCUUUUACCUGCAAUCUGUCCAAUUUAGUCAGACUAACUUGCAAUUUUUACACUGUUAAACAUCUUAUAAAUCUGAGACCAACAGAUCAAAGAAAAGCUCUUUCAAUUGAGUGUCUGGGUAACUUGUGGCAAAUUUUUUAUCCCCGUUGUAAUGUGAUUCCUCCAUCUCUAAAGUGAAGGCAUGGAUUACCCACUCAUUCUCAAUCCAAUGUGAAAGGUCCAGAAUUCUGUGUCAGAGUUAAGAGAGUCCUGGUGCAGUCAGCAAGGGAAAGUAAUUUUUCCAAACUGCCUGUGCUAAAAAUAAACCCAGGGUAGUCUCAGGGGAGAGCUACCCAGUCCCUUUCACGGACAGUAAAUUCACUGUGGUGGGAGGUGAAGAUGGACUGAAAACAAAUACCU
rnacentral:lncRNA from 1 species